UACGUAGGGUGCGAGCGUUAAUCGGAAUUACUGGGCGUAAAGCGUGCGCAGGCGGUUAUUUAAGUCAGGUGUGAAGGCCCUGGGCUUAACCUAGGAAUUGCGCUUGAGACUGGAUAGCUUGGAGUGCGGCAGAGGGAGGUGGAAUUCCACGUGUAGCAGUGAAAUGCGUAGAGAUGUGGAGGAACACCGAUGGCGAAGGCAGCCUCCUGGGCCAGCACUGACGCUCAUGCACGAAAGCGUGGGGAGCAAACAGG
rnacentral:rRNA from 1 species